UAUACGACAUUAUUACACAAAUUGACUAAGUCCCACAGUAAGCUCAAUAAGGCUUGUGUUGAGGGUACUUAGACAACGAUAUAUAUAAUAUAUAAAUAUUUAUAAAUACUUAACCCUCUGCAACUGACGUUACGUCUGACAGACACCACAAUACCUAUGCGCUGUUGCUACGUCGCCAUUUAGUGGCGUAUCGUUCUGUCUCUCCCUGUACCUUCCUGCGUGGACGUACGCGUCCCACCAGCGCAGCGACGGCAGCUGCGGCGUGCGCAUGGGUGGAGUUAGAGCUGUUUGGUGUCCAUAGGACAUAAGGUCAGUAAUAAGUGAUGGGUCUAGCAGACGUGUUGUCAGUAAUAUUGUUAUAACUCCAUACUGUCUCACAUACGUCACGUCAGUAAAAUAAUUAUAUUCAUAGUGUCUACCAGUCGUAACCUCAGUAAAUUAUUGUAAAAAUAUUUUCUAGGUGCAUUUCAGUAUAUUGUUAGGUAUCUAAUUCUAGAUGGCGAAGCUCAGACAGAAAAGCCUCUCGAGUUGUAAAUAUUAACAACGAGCAGCAAAUUCUGGAAUGGUUAAUUGAAGAGGACUUCAGUGAUUGUGACGAUGAUGUAGCCGACCAGGACUUUCUCAUUGAAGAGGUGGUUCAUGAGGAAAGCGAAAUGUCAGCAGGCGAAGAAUAAAGUUUGGAAGGUAGUGAUUUACCUCCUCCACCACCACCAACUGAGCCUGAAUCCUAAAUAUGUCGUGUUUGCCCAAGCCAAAUUGAAGCAGCAAACGAGAUUUGCCUGUUAUUCUUGUGCAAAACCGAUUGUUCUGCAGUGUGCGGCGCUAAUUUGCGAAGACUGCAAGACCGAAUUUCAAGGCUGAAUUUAAAAAAAAGUGCUCUAAGGAUUAUUUUGAUUAUUUUUUUAUUGUUUAUUUUAUGCCAGAAGAAGGUAAAUUUAAGUUAUAAUUAUUGAUUUUAUGUUUCACUUUUUUUAUAUAGCUUUUUAAAAAGGGGUGUGGCAAAAGUUCCUAUAUUAUGAUGUUUAUAAACAAUAUUGAAUAUUUUACUGA